rnacentral:rRNA from 1 species
AUUGAACGCUGGCGGCAGGCCUAACACAUGCAAGUCGGGCGAGUGGCGGACGGGUGAGUAAUGUAUGGGGAACUGCCUGAUGGAGGGGGAUAACUACUGGAAACGGUAGCUAAUACCGCAUACCAUCAGAUGUGCCCAGAUGGGAUUAGCUUGUUGGUGGGGUAAAGGCCCACCAAGGCGACGAUCCGUAACUGGUCUGAGAGGAUGAUCAGUCACACUGGAACUGAGACACGGUCCAGACUCCUACGGGAGGCAGCAGUGGGGAAUAUUGGACAAUGGGCGAAAGCCUGAUCCAGCCAUGCCGCGUGUGUGAAGAAGGUCUUCGGAUUGUAAAGCACUUUAAGUGGGGAGGCGUUACCAGCAGAAGAAGCACCGGCUAACUUCGUGCCAGCCGCCGCGGUAAUUC